CCUACGGGAGGCAGCAGUGAGGAAUAUUGGUCAAUGGCCGUAAGGCUGAACCAGCCAAGUCGCGUGAAGGAAGAAGGAUCUAUGGUUUGUAAACUUCUUUUAUCGGGGAAUAAAGGUAUCCACGUGUGGAUAUUUGCAUGUACCCUAUGAAUAAGCAUCGGCUAACUCCGUGCCAGCAGCCGCGGUAAUACGGAGGAUGCGAGCGUUAUCCGGAUUUAUUGGGUUUAAAGGGUGCGUAGGUUGUUUUUUAAGUCAGCGGUGAAAGUUUGGGGCUCAACCAUAAAAUUGCCGUUGAAACUGGAAGACGUGAGUGUGUUUGAGGUAGGCGGGAUGCGUGGUGUAGCGGUGAAAUGCAUAGAUAUCACGCAGAACUCCGAUUGCGAAGGCAGCUUACUAAGCCAUAACUGACACUGAAGCACGAAAGCGUGGGGAUCAAACAGGAUUAGAUACCCGUGUAGUC
rnacentral:rRNA from 1 species